rnacentral:rRNA from 1 species
CGUAGGUGGCAAGCGUUGUCCGGAUUUAUUGGGUUUAAAGGGUGCGUAGGCGGUUCCAUAAGUCAGUGGUGAAAUACAAUAGCUUAACUAUUGAGGUGCCAUUGAUACUGCGGAACUUGAGUACAGACGAGGUAGGCGGAAUUGACGGUGUAGCGGUGAAAUGCUUAGAUAUCGUCAAGAACACCGAUAGCGAAGGCAGCUUACUAGACUGUAACUGACGCUGAGGCACGAAAGUGUGGGGAUCAAACAGGAUUAGAUACCCUGGUAGUCCACACUGUAAACGAUGAUUACUCGAUGUUGGCGAUACACAGCCAGCGUCUUAGCAAAAGCGAUAAGUAAUCCACCUGGGGAGUACGCCCGCAAGGGUG